rnacentral:rRNA from 2 species
GGGCGGAUUUUAUUCGUAGCUAUGAUGCAUCCAUGCCGCGUGUGUGAAGAAGGCCUUCGAGGUUGUAAAGCACUUUCAGUAAGGAGGAAAGGUUAAGUGUUAAUAGCACUUAGCUGUGACGUUACUUACAGAAGAAGCACCGGCUAACUCCGUGCCAGCAGCCGCGGUAAUACGGAGGGUGCGAGCGUUAAUCGGAAUUACUGGGCGUAAAGCGUACGCAGGCGGUUUGUUAAGCGAGAUGUGAAAGCCCCGGGCUCAACCUGGGAACUGCAUUUCGAACUGGCAAACUAGAGUGUGAUAGAGGGUGGUAGAAUUUCAGGUGUAGCGGUGAAAUGCGUAGAGAUCUGAAGGAAUACCGAUGGCGAAGGCAGCCACCUGGGUCAACACUGACGCUCAUGUACGAAAGCGUGGGGAGCAAACAGGACGCGGAUACCCAGGUAGUCC